rnacentral:lncRNA from 1 species
CAAACAGCCAUGCUAAAUCAUACUAAAUAAUUCAAUGCAGCACUUGCAGACGUUUGCAAGAAGCAAGAGCUGAACACACAGGAGCUGGUGCCUUAAGGGAGUGGAGGUCGUGAAAAGUUGAUGAGAUGGAGGGCCAAGGGUAAGGUAGAUCUCAAGCCCUAAAAUCAUCACAGUGCAACAUCUCUAGCAAGCAUUCUUCUGAGCAGAAGGAAAGCCUACAUUUAACAUUUUUGCAAACGUCAAAACAACACGUAUAUUUGGAACAGAGGAAUGAAGAAGUGGUGGGGGGAAGUAUGCCCCAGAGAAUCACAGAGUCAGAGUCUCUCAGUAACUGCAGAUCAAGACUGGAUCUUCUUGAAUGGUGGUGGGACAGAGAAACUAAACCCUGGUAGGAAAAGGGUCCCAAGGAAGACAAGGCCUGGGGCCAAGGAAGACUGAGGGAGACGGCUACCGGCUGAGGAACCAGAGCUACAGAGUCACUGGGACUCACGGGUAAGGCAGUUGGGUGCGGUGAGAACCAUGGGGUGUACAGAUGGCUGACUUUAGGACUUGGGGGGAAAUGCUCUUUGAUUAAGACAAGACAGAUGGGAAUGGAGAUAUAGAGAAACACCGUGAAAACGAGUUUUAUGCAAAACCAGAUCACACUCAAAAUUCGGUCUCAGGCACCACCUCACAGAGGGUCAUUCCUUUCCGGCAGCCCUCUGGAUGGCUCUAAGUGACCAUGGAUUAAUUUUAUGAAAGUCUUGAACGGCUGCUAAGAGUCCUUUUUAAACC